GAUGAACGCUGGCGGCAUGCCUAACACAUGCAAGUCGAACGGGCUUAAUUGAAGCCUAGCGAUAUUAAGUUAGUGGCGGACGGGUGAGUAACGCGUGGGUAACCUGCCUCACACUGGGGGAUAACAGUUAGAAAUGACUGCUAAUACCGCAUAAGUGCACAGUACCGCAUGGUACAGUGUAAAAAACUCCGGUGGUGUGAGAUGGACCCGCGUCUGAUUAGCUAGUUGGCGGGGUAACGGCCCACCAAGGCGACGAUCAGUAGCCGGCCUGAGAGGGUGAACGGCCACAUUGGGACUGAGACACGGCCCAA
rnacentral:rRNA from 1 species